CUACGGGGGGCAGCAGUGAGGAAUAUUGGUCAAUGGGCGCAAGCCUGAACCAGCCAAGUAGCGUGAAGGAUGACUGCCCUCUGGGUUGUAAACUUCUUUUAUAGGGGAAUAAAGUGCGCCACGUGUGGCGUUUUGUAUGUACCCUACGAAUAAGGACCGGCUAACUCCGUGCCAGCAGCCGCGGUAAUACGGAGGGUCCGAGCGUUAUCCGGAUUUAUUGGGUUUAAAGGGUGCGCAGGCGGGAUGAUAAGUCAGUUGUGAAAGUUGGACGCUCAACGUUCAAAUUGCAAUUGAAACUGUCAUUCUUGAGUGCAGUGGAGGUAAGUGGAAUUCGUGGUGUAGCGGUGAAAUGCUUAGAUAUCACGAAGAACUCCGAUUGCGAAGGCAACUUGCUAUACUGCAACUGACGCUCAUGCACGAAGGUGUGGGUAUCAAACAGGAUUAGAUACCCCCGUAGUC
rnacentral:rRNA from 1 species